CAGUGCCUGUAUCAAAGAGAUGAGCGUGAUGCUGGUGCCCACCCUGGGCAGCCUUCCCCAGCACCACUACACACCAUCCUACCAGAGGUGGGGACAUGGAAUGGGAAUGGGGGAGGUUUGGCAGUGAGAAGUCAGCCAGAGCGAUCCUAAACCCUAGGGCUUUAGCUCUGAACCCUAACCUGUGAGAUUGGAAUGUGUCACACCAGGAGCCAAAAUGAUGUUAAUUUAUGUUCAUUAUCAAGUUCCGUGGAUUAAUAGACUGUUAAUGAUGAUCACUGUCCCUCCUGCUGGUAUUGCUCACACAGCCACAUCAGACACAUCCUUGUUUAUGUUAAUACCAAUGGCUGUUAUCACUGAACAGACUUUCCAAAUGUACUUUACAUCCACAGGGUGACAAAAUUCAGAUGGAAACAUAAAUCCCAUGCUGUGCCUCUGUCACCCCUGGGCCUUGGCUCCUGAGGUGUAGAGAUGUGUGAGGAAAGUGAAUGUGCUUCUUGCAGCGCCCUUGGCAGUGGCGGUCACACAGCCUUGCCACAGCAGAGGCUCCUGCAGGACUGUGCUCUCCAUCCAGCCACGGAGGAGCUGCCAGCUCCAUGGUGCAGAAGGGAUGGAGCGCCACGCUUCUGCUGGGGAUGAUGCUCGGCUGCAUUUUCCCCUGGCAACAUCUGCAAAGAUGGGGAUGCAGCAGGAGCAACACUGCUGGAGAAUAAAAUGAGCAUCUAUGAAUUGCUCUGAAGUCUGAA